GGGGAUGUUUCUGGCUUCGACGCUGGUGAUGAAGCUCAUAGAUGCAUGCCGAGAGCGCAUUUUCUCUCGUAAAUCAAAUUUGCAUUUUUUAGUCGCAAACGACGAAUCAUACGCUCAAGCUGCCUAAGGGCAGCUUGUCCGACCGUUAGUUUACUUGUGGUCUAACAGUCCGACUGAAGCGCACGCACACAAGUCCGUAUAAAAUCAAGCCUUGGGGUUUUAUACUAAAUUAAGAGGAUCGUGCUUUUAAUCCUGUUCGUCGGGUCUUUAAGCAUUAAAAUAAUAGACGAUAUCUAAGCAUGUAGUAUUCUGGAGUGUAGUGCUGGCGGACGCGGGUUCGACUCCCGCCAUCUCCACCA
rnacentral:tmRNA from 1 species